rnacentral:rRNA from 1 species
GACGAACGCUGGCGGCGUGCUUAACACAUGCAAGUCGAACGGAAAGGCCCUGCUUUUGUGGGGUGCUCGAGUGGCGAACGGGUGAGUAACACGUGAGUAACCUGCCCUUGACUUUGGGAUAACUUCAGGAAACUGGGGCUAAUACCGGAUAGGAGCUCCUGCUGCAUGGUGGGGGUUGGAAAGUUUCGGCGGUUGGGGAUGGACUCGCGGCUUAUCAGCUGGUUGGUGGGGUAGUGGCUUACCAAGGCUUUGACGGGUAGCCGGCCUGAGAGGGUGACCGGGCACAUUGGGACUGAGAGACGGCGCAGACGCCUACGGGAGGCAGCAGUGGGGAAUAUUGCACAACGGGCGGAAGCCUGAUGCAGCAACGCCGGGUGCGGGAUGACGGCCUUCGGGUUGUAAACCACUGUCGCCUGUGACGAAGCGUGAGUGACGGUAAUGGGUAAAGAAGCACCGGCUAACUACGUG